AUGAUGGGGAAAAGGAGCCUAGAGAAGAACAUUUGGCUUGAGCUGGAACGUGAGGGAUUUCUUCUACUGAAUGGGCUUGACCAACAAGGACAUAGAAGCACUCUUGGGUGGACAUACUCUGUUUUAGGAGAGAAGCUCGUAUGGAUAGCUCGGGAUUCGACUUGGACAAAAGAUCCUCUGAACUUUCAUAACUCCUACUUCAUUGAGCUUCUGAAAGGGGACUCCAACGGACUCAUGAAGCUACUUACAGACAAGGACGCGUUCUUCAUGGACUACGCGAAGUCGCACAAGAAGCUUUCCGAGCUCUACUUUACUGGCGUGGACAUGCAGAGACAGAGCCAAGAGGGCUGUCAUAAGAACUACCACUGGCUUCACAGUUGCGGUUGCCAUCUUUGCCUACACUUACAUCUUUGA
rnacentral:rRNA from 1 species